UACGUAGGGGGCGAGCGUUGUCCGGAAUCAUUGGGCGUAAAGAGCGUGUAGGCGGCUUGGCAAGUCUGACGUGAAAUCCCGCGGCUCAACCGCGGUAGGUCGUUGGAAACUGCCUCGCUAGAGUCCGGAAGAGGAGAGCGGAAUUCCUGGUGUAGCGGUGGAAUGCGCAGAUAUCUGGAGGAACACCGGUGGCGAAGGCGGCAUUCUGGACCGAUAUUGACGCUGAGGAGCGAAAGCCAGGGGAGCAAACGGG
rnacentral:rRNA from 1 species